rnacentral:rRNA from 1 species
AUUAAACGCUGGCGGCAUGCCUUACACAUGCAAGUCGAACGGCAGCACGGGGGCAACCCUGGUGGCGAGUGGCGGACGGGUGAGUAAUGCAUCGGAACGUGCCCUGAAGUGGGGGAUAACGCAGCGAAAGCUACGCUAAUACCGCAUAUUCUGUGAGCAGGAAAGCAGGGGAUCGCAAGACCUUGCGCUUUGGGAGCGGCCGAUGUCGGAUUAGCUAGUUGGUGGGGUAAAGGCCUACCAAGGCGACGAUCCGUAGCGGGUCUGAGAGGAUGAUCCGCCACACUGGGACUGAGACACGGCCCAGACUCCUACGGGAGGCAGCAGUGGGGAAUUUUGGACAAUGGGCGGAAGCCUGAUCCAGCCAUGCCGCGUGAGUGAAGAAGGCCUUCGGGUUGU